CAGCCUUAUGCAGGUACCACCACUGUAAUACCACCAUUGUAUUACUGUAGGUAUUCUAUGACACUGAUUGGCAGGUUUUCUCCCUCUCUGCUCUCCACUACAGAUUUCCUCCAUCCUGGCUCCCUUUCUGCAAAGAUGUUGGAGGAAGAUCAGUUAGAGCGGGAAGAAUGUGGGCAAAAAUCAGCUGGAUGCGUGGAAGCCGUUCCUCCUGUACAUACACAAGCAGACGCCGCAUCGAGCGGGCCGGCCCGUUGCUGUGACACAUCAACGCAGAGCCGCCAUAUUGCAUGUGGCAGAUGUGCGCUGUAAACGAAUCCAAGUCAAUGGACUGAACUUCAUGAAGCGCCUUUCUACAAACUUCUAUGCAGAGUCGUGUUGCCCAGGCUGCCCCUGAACACAUCCUAAAGCCUUCAGCCUGCAGCAGUCACAAGGAG